rnacentral:rRNA from 1 species
AUUCCCCUAGUAACUGCGAGUGAAGCGGGAAAAGCUCAAAUUUAAAAUCUGGUAGUCGUCCUGGCUAUCCGAGUUGUAAUUUAGAGAAGUGCUAUCCGCGCUGGACCGUGUACAAGUCUCCUGGAAUGGAGCGUCAUAGAGGGUGAGAAUCCCGUCUCUGACACGGACUACCAGGGCUUUUGUGGUACGCUCUCAAAGAGUCGAGUUGUUUGGGAAUGCAGCUCUAAAUGGGUGGUAAAUUCCAUCUAAAGCUAAAUAUUGGCAAGAGACCGAUAGCGAACAAGUACCGUGAGGGAAAGAUGAAAAGAACUUUGGAAAGAGAGUUAAACAGUACGUGAAAUUGUUGAAAGGGAAACGCUUGAAGUCAGUCACGUUGGCUAGAAAUCAGCCUGGCUUUGGCUUGGUGCACUUUCUAGCUUUGACGGGCCAGCAUCAAUUUUGACUGGUGGAAAAAGGCUUGGUGGAAUGUGGCAUCUUCGGAUGUGUUAUAGCCCCUUGUCAUAUACACUGGUUGGGAUUGAGGAACUCAGCACGCCUCAGGGGUUGUGUUAAGGAUGCUGGCAUAAUGGCUUUAAUCGACCCGU